UACGUAGGGGGCAAGCGUUAUCCGGAUUUACUGGGUGUAAAGGGAGCGCAGACGGAACUGCAAGUCUGAUGUGAAAGCCCGGGGCUCAACCGCGGGACUGCAUCGGAUACUGUGGAUCUGGAGUGCCGGAGGGGCAAGCGGAAUUCCUGGUGUAGCGGUGAAAUGCGUAGAUAUCAGGAGGAGCACCGGCGGCGAAGGCGGCUUGCUGGACGGCAACUGACGUUGAGGUUCGAAAGCGUGGGGAGCAAACAGGAUUAGAUACCCU
rnacentral:rRNA from 1 species